UACCUCAGGCAGGCAAUUUAAGAUCCUCGG
rnacentral:piRNA from 1 species